UACGUAGGGGCAAGCGUUGUCCGGAUUUUUUGGGCGUAAAGAGCGUGUAGGCGGUUUGGUAGGUCCGUUGUGAAAACUCGAGGCUCAACCUCGAGACGCCGAUGGAAACCAUCUGACUAGAGUCCGGAAGAGGAGAGUGGAAUUCCUGGUGUAGCGGUGGAAUGCGCAGAUAUCAGGAGGAACACCGGUGGCGAAGGCGGGUCUCUGGGCAGUAACUGACGCUGAGGAGCGAAAGCGUGGGGAGCGAACAGG
rnacentral:rRNA from 1 species